CGAUGCUGGAGUGACAACUUUGUGCAAGAAAACGGUCGCUCUUUAUAUCAUAAUUAGGUCAUUAGUGCAAUAACGACUACGACCAGACGGAAUAUUAUUUUUAUUAUGGUGUGAAACCAGUUCCAUCUUCAGCACUGUAACACUGAUUGCCAGAGCCUGAGGGGUGACGGCAUGGCGGAGGGCGAUGAAAGCGCAGGUGGGGAGUGGAAAGAGAAAUGCAUGGCCCUCGAGGCCCUGCUCUUCAAGUUCCGUGGACAAAUGAGCGUGAUCCGAGAGCUCACGGCAGAAAAGAUGCAGCAGCUGGAGACGCAGGUACUGGAAGCAGAGCGUCGAGCAUAUGAGGCCAGCCAGCAG